ensembl:snRNA U2 U2 spliceosomal RNA
ACUGCUUCUCAGCCUUUUGGCUAAGAUCAAGUAUAGUAUCUUUCUUAUCAGUUUAAUAUCUGAUACACCCUCUAUUCAAGGACAAUAUAACAAAUGGAUUUCUGGAGCAGGGAGAUGUAAUAGGACCUGUUGCAUCCACUCCACACAUCAACCUAGCAUUGAGUACCUCCAGGACUGCUAUACCCAUC